CGGAUGAUGGCCGAAACCGGGUGUGACGGCGUCGUCGUGGGACGCGGAUGCCUCGGCCGGCCGUGGCUGUUCGGCGACCUCGCCCGC
rnacentral:tRNA from 1 species